ensembl:lncRNA
UUCAUUUCAAAGGUUUAUUUGCAUGACGCACAAACACACAAUUGAAAGGUACAAAUGUGCAUGACACGAAUUCAAACGUGCUGCAGAUGUGUGUCACCAGUUGAUCUGGCUGUAGGCUGUGGCACUUGGCCAGAGGUGGCGCUGGUUGACUCGACUCCAUGUUGGUGCACAGAGCAAACUGCUCGCUUUAGUUGUGGAGCAAAAACGCUGAAUUCGGUGACAUAAACCGUGCGAGUGGAACGAUAACGACGACAAGAGUCUCCCGAUCGUUUACUCUUUGUGUCCUGUGAACAACAACGGCGUGGUGUUACUUGUUUGCUGUUUUCGCGAUCGCGUCGCGCAUGAGGAUAUCACCAGGUAAACUCGCCACAUUUUUAAACAUUUUGUUGUUCAACAGCAUCAAGACUGACGGAGUGUGUUUGAGACAACCUCACAAGUGUCACAGAUGACACAUUUGGCGUUUUUUUGCUGGUUUGUCGGUAGCAGCUCCUGAAACGCAAGACUGCCACACAUCUGUUCGACCAACGCCAGUUGAUCUAAACGCCAGUUGAUCUGGAACAACGGCAGAUGCUUUUGGACCUUCGUUUUUCUCAAUCUCAUGACUCGGACUCACGAUGGACCUUUGGAGGCGCCAGCUUGAUGCGCUCGGUCUCAAUCACCAGCGUAUCCUGCCUGCCGCAAGAAACGCUACAGGAAGCGGGGUAAACGGAGCGGCAUUCGUGUCCGCCUUAAGGCUUAUUUUCGAGCUCAAGCUUUGGCUGAUCCAUAUGCUACCAUGGACCUUCUACCUACCUCUUCCUGCUCCCGGCACCGGCUUUCUACUCGAUCACUCAGCUGUCGGUGGAUUUGCUUCGCCGGGCAGCUAGACUACCCCGCCCUCCCAGAGGCAUGCCUACCUAUUCGGACCAUUGACUGUAGAAAACAUGGACGACGCGACAGCUCCCCAAAAAUGAAGCCAAAACGUCUCUAUCGCCCCCUGGUGUCUUGCUGCAGUAUAGGUCAUAAACCCCGCCUCCUCCAUGUUAGCGGAUGGGACUGGGGUCAGACUAAAACAAAUUAAUUCUCCUUAGAUAAUUUUUUUUUCCAAAGAUUCUUUCUUUUGUUUUCAAUAGUUCUCAUCACGCUGAUUGAUGUCCAAGGGGUCUCCUCUCCCAUAAGUUUGAUUCUAAUUCCUACCGCGGUGAUGUUAAAUUGGGGUGAAACGUCAUCAUAAGAGCUUUGACUGACAGCUGCAGUCACGGAAAAACUUGCGUAUCUCUGUUCGGGAAUAGCAGAUAGAGCGUAGGCUCUGAGAGGACGCCCAGCGUUUACAGUACGAAAACACGACCGAGUGUUUUAACCUGACAGCCUGAGGUGUUCUUCAGUAAACUGGACUACCCGACAGAAGGACCCGAGGCCCCGCUGCACUUUUUCGGCUUUUCCAGGGGGGAAGCUUCUAUGUUGUCCAAGUCUUUUGUAUCAGCUGAGUAGUUUUUCUUCGGUUCUACUGUGGCUGCGGUGAGGGUUUGAGGAGAAAACCUCUGGGAUGACACAGACGCUUCUUCCUCAGAUGACUCACAGCUGAAACCUAUUAAAAUAUCUGGAUAUAUGCAAGGUGGUGCAGGUACACGAUGCAGUGUUAGAAUUUCUCUGUUUUCACUGUCAUCUGUGGAUGUUUCAUCAAGACUGCUCUCCUCUGCAGUCAAAUGCAGCUUGAGGUUUUUUGAGUCUGAAGAGUCCUCCAGUCCUGGAGUUUCUGUUUCUUCAUUAUCACCGUGGUCAUCUACAGAAAUUUCUUUCAGGAUGCUGUCCUUUGCUCCUGUUUCUUCUGUUUUCUCAGGGGACUCUGUGUGCACUGAGUGAAGAGAAGGCUCAUUAUUCUGCGUGGACACUGCAUCUCCCUUCUCCACAGUUGUGUCCAUUGCAUCCACUAACAUGGAACAAAGUUUCAACAUGUCUUUCAGCAAAGUGGAAGGCAGCUCAGUGUUGCAGUACUCUGGGUUGAACUGCAGAGAUUGCCACUGUGGUACAAUUGUACCAAAAAAGUGGUCACUUAAGGACUUCCAUGUUUCCACUGAGGUGUUACUGUGUGGAGUUGUCAUGUUUAAGUUUGUAUUACUAUUUCUCUGACUCUGAAAUGUAGAAGAGGAAAUAAAUUGUUGGCUGGUUGGAGUUGGACUAGGCAUGUGUGCUCUUUGUAAACCAAAUGCUUGAGAGUCUGGACGGCUCCUUUAUAUAGGUUUAAGCCCCGCCCACGUUCGGCUGCAGCCACUGUGACGUCAUCCACUUUCCUUUGAAGUUGAACCUUCAAAGGUUUGGGGGCGGGGUUUAAGCUAAUCUCUGACACAGCUGCAUGACAUUUAAAUGGCAUAAACUAUUAAUUUAAAUUACCCAUUGUAAAUGUUGUUCUUAAAGCAGACUGGUUAAUAAUAAUUUCACCACAUGAUAUUUUCAAAUUAUUUUGUAUUUGCUUAAAUAAAUGCAUAAUUCAAAGACAAGUUCGGUGAUUUUUCAUUGUAUAUCAAAUUACAGUUGGACAUUUUAGGUGUUCCCUAAAUUUUAAUGUAGGUGUAACCCAGUGUUAAUUUGGUUAUCUGAUAUUGUGUGAUAUUCAGUAUAUAUGUAUAUAUCUAUAUUGAGUGUUAUAAAAUGUUCUUCAAUGAUUUUGAGUUGUUUUUUUUUAAAUUGCUAUUGGUUUGCGGCUGCUUUACGACAGUCCACUGUGGUAGUACAUCCUAGCGGGAGGGGCUAUGAGCUCACGUGGCUUGUAGCUGUGCCAGAGAGCAAGCUUGGGUAAUAUCUCUGUUAAACAAGAAGUCACAUACUUGGGACUGCUAAUAUCCAAAGACCAAAAAUCAAGAUGCUCUUCAAACUUCACUCCAAUUAUACAGAAAACCCUAAAAAAGUUCAACCAGUGGCUGCAAAGGGACUUGUCUUUGAAAGGUAGAGUGUUAAUUACUAAAGCAGAAGGGAUAUCCCGAUUAACAUAUGCUGCUCUCUCCUUACAUCUGGAUAAGAAAAUUAGUAAAGAUAUUGACCGUAUGCUCUUUAAUUUUAUAUGGAAAAACCGUACGCAUUAUAUUAGAAAAACUGUUGUGAUGAAUAAGUACGAAUCAGGUGGGCUUAACGUCUUAGACUUUUCUACUUUAAAUAACACUUUCAAAAUUAAUUGGGCUAAACAUUUUCUUAAAAACCCUACCUCUAUCUGGAACUUUAUACCAUAUUAUAUUUUCUCUUGUUUUGGUGGCUUUAAUUUUGUUUUAAAUUGUAAUUACAAUGUUGAGAAACUCCCUGUAAAGCUUUCAUCCUUCCAUAAGCAGGUCCUCUUAGCGUGGACCCUCAUUUAUAAACACAACUUCUCACCUCACAAAUACCUUAUCUGGAACAACAGGGAUAUUUUAUAUAAAAAUAAAUCACUUUUCCUGGAAACUUGGAUCCAAAAUGGGAUCCUAUUGGUGGCUCAGCUGGUUAAUAAAGAGGGACAACUACUUACUUACAACGACUUUAUUGCACUAUAUAAUUUUCCAAUCAGUGUUCAGGAAUUCUCAAUGGUGCUUGGUGCCAUACCCUCAGGGACUUUAAUGUUAUAUAAAAACACUGACAGCUCGAUCUCUACCUCAGUCACUCUCUCUGAUCCAGCUGAGUCACCAAUAGGAAAAAUCUGCUUUUCACAGGAACUUGGUAAUAGCAAUAAAAGAAUACGUAGUUUAUUCCAAGAAGAUAUCGUCUCUCUCCCAUAUAUAAUAUCUUAUUGGAACCGAUUUGUUCCAGAUAUCAAGUGGAAGACAGUCUGGAUGGUCCCCCAUAAAUAUUUGAUUGUAAAUAAGGUAAAAGAAGUCUCAUUUAAAAUUCUACAUAAAUGUUAUCCAGCCAGUCACUACAUGGUAAAAUUUAAAAGGGACAUAAAUACUAAUUGUACUUUCUGUGGGGAUCAUCCAGAAACUGUGACACAUCUUUUUUGGUACUGUUCUUUUACACAGAGAUUCUGGAAGGAAUUUAGCAGGUUUGUUAUUGUCCAUAUUUUAAGGGAGUUUUCUUUACGAUGGGAAGGUCCAGAGAAGGUCCACUGCCAGUUCAGAUAGAGGGGGAGGAGGUGGAGGUGGUCAACAAGUACAAGUACCUCGGGCUGUGGGUGGACAAUAAACUGGACUGGUCAUGCAACACAGAGCACCUGUAUAAAAAAGCCCAAAGCCGACUGUACUUCCUCAGGAGGCUGAGGUCUUUUAACAUCUGCAGGAAGCUCCUGAGGAUGUUUUACCAGUCGGUGGUUGCUGGAGUACUUUUCUAUGCUGUGGUGUGCUGGGGGAGUAGCACAGCAAAGAAGGACUCAUCCAGGCUGGAGAAACUGAUCAGGAGGGCUAGCUCUGUGGUCGGCAUGAAGCUGGACACUCUGGUGACAGUGGCAGAGAAAAGGACAUUAAAGAAACUGAUGGACAUUAUGGACAAUGCUGGGCAUCCUCUGCACACGGCCAUAAACAAUCAGAAGAGUCUGUUCAGUGACAGGUUGCUUCUCCCCAAGACAAGAACUAACAGACUUAAAAACUCCUUUGUCCCACACGCCAUCAGACUGUUUAACUCCUCUCUGGAGGGGAGAGGGAGGGGAAACAGGAGGACAAAGGAGGGGGGAACAACUAAGCUGUAGUGCCUCUGCACCUCACUGUACAAUACCUUGUGCAAUACUUUUUGUAAAUAGUCAACAGUGCAAUAGACCUCAAUACUUGAAAUGUGCAAUUCACUUGUAUUUUUAUUUUUUAUUCCUAUUUAUUCUAUUUAUCCCCUUUGUAUAUUUUAUUUAUAUUUGUCUCUGUAUUUAUAUAUGUGUGUGUGUGUGUGUGUGUGUAUAUAUAUAUAUAUAACAGUUCUGUAACUGUAACUUCGGUCGUUGCUGUGCUUUUUUUGGAAGUCGAAUUUCCCAGAGGAACCCACCCGAGGGAUUAAUAAAGUUCUAUCUUAUCUUAUCUUAUCUUAUCUUAUUUGUCAUUUGCCUGACAGUUAAAGACAACCUGAGCUCGUUUCACAGCUUCCUUUGUGUCUCUGUAGGUUUCAUUUCUAAGUAGCCACGAUGCCAGAGAGCGAUAGACCUCAAUACACUUGGAUGUCUCUUUUAUUAAGCUGUAUCUCUGUGAGCUUCUUCAUCAUGUUUAUUGUUCAGGGGAUAAUUGGUAAGUAGGAGUUGUCCUUUACUCAGACUGAAUUCAUUUACAUUCAUUUAUGUGUUGGAAGGAAAAUUUGAAAAAUCAAAUAACAUGAAUGUGUAACAACAACUUGACGGUCGUCUUCGUUUUCAUACUUGUGCUCUGUAGGAUGCAUAUACAUUCACGACUGUCCAGCGGAUCCCUUCAUUCCUAUCGCAAUGGUUAUUUCUGGAUUCAUUUCUUUCUUCUGGGCAUUGAGCUGGUGUAAGAAUGGAUGCAGAAUUUUCUGCUACUGUAUCAUCUCCAUUCUCUUUUUUAUCUGGUUCGUAGGUACUGUACAUGUCUACUGCAACUACAUCCUGAACCAUACUCCAGAAACCGAUCUCAAAUGCAACAUGUAUUUCCACCUGUUUGCAUUUUGGUGCAGUAACGUGACCUACAUCCUGAUAGCCAUUCAUAUUUCCUGUCUUAUUACUGCUUGCUGCAACAACCGGAUGGAGGCUUACGAGAUUUCUGAUGAGGCUCGGCCACUGCUGUGGCGCUAAUCAUAUCACAUAUGUAUGUAUGUAUGUAUGUAUGUAUGUAUGUAUGUAUGUAUGUAUGUAUGUAUGUUUGUUUGUUUGUUUGUUUGUUUGUUUGUAUGUUUGUUUGUUUGUUUGUUUGUUUGUUUGUUUGUUUGUUUCCCAUCUCCCCUUAGACAAGUGGACCAAUACUGAUGAGAAAGAUUAGAAUGGGGUCACAAUAAAAUAUAUCACACAGUAAUAAACAUAUACUACUACAACUACAAAUAAUAAUGACACUGACUAAAAUAAAAUCAUAAGCAAACAACAGGAAAAAUAUACUAAUAUUUUCAUGUGUGCUUUAUUUAGAACAUCAUAUAUUUAAUGUUGGUUAAUCUAGCAACAUGUAGUUUUUGAUCUUUUGUUAGAGAAAUCUUAUGAUUAACAAUUCAUGUUUAAUCUUUAGAGGUAGAGAUUUGAUAGGGUGUUCUUUUCUAAUAUUUUCAUGUGUGUGCGCAUGCACGGGUAUGUUGGUAUGGGUAUAUAUAUAAUUGUAGGUUGUGUAUCCUUGAGGUGUUAAUGGGGUUAUUGAAAAUGUGUAUAUGUGCGUAUGUGUGUAUAUACGUAUGUAUGGAUAGAUAGAAACAUAUAUGUGUAUAUAUUUAAAAAAAAUUACACAUUACAUAUAAUGUAAUUGCAAGGAGGUAUUUCUGUAGUCUAUUGAUACUAGAUAGUGGAAAAGGGGUGGGAUUAAAUAAGCUUAUGCUUCUUCCUGCUCCUUUUUGAACAUGGACGUUAUUUGGAGUUGUGGUUGCUCGUUUUCCUUUUGUUUGCUUUGUUCAUUUGUCUCUUUUAAUUCUAUUUUUUUUAUACUUUUUCAACAUGUUCAAAAUAAAG